CACGUAGGGCGCAAGCGUUGUCCGGAAUCAUUGGGCGUAAAGAGCGUGUAGGCGGUCCGGUAAGUCGGUUGUGAAAGUCAAGGGCUCAACCCUUGAAUGCCGACCGAUACUGCCGGGCUAGAGUCCGGAAGAGGUGAGUGGAAUUCCUGGUGUAGCGGUGAAAUGCGCAGAUAUCAGGAGGAACACCAAUGGCGAAGGCAGCUCACUGGGACGGUACUGACGCUGAGACGCGAAAGCGUGGGGAGCAAACAGG
rnacentral:rRNA from 1 species